CAGUCGCCGCGGUAAUACGGAGGGUGCAAGCGUUAAUCGGAAUUACUGGGCGUAAAGCGCACGCAGGCGGUCUGACAAGUCAGAUGUGAAAUCCCCGGGCUUAACCUGGGAACUGCAUUUGAAACUGUCAGGCUGGAGUCUUGUAGAGGGGGGUAGAAUUCCAGGUGUAGCGGUGAAAUGCGUAGAGAUCUGGAGGAAUACCGGUGGCGAAGGCGGCCCCCUGGACAAAGACUGACGCUCAGGUGCGAAAGCGUGGGGAGCAAACAGGAUUAGAUACCCCUGUAGUCCCUGUCUCUUAUAC
rnacentral:rRNA from 1 species